AAUGCGGGUGCUUACCAUGCAGUCGAACGAUGAAGCCCAGCUUGCUGGGUGGAUUAGUGGCGAACGGGUGAGUAACACGUGAGUAACCUGCCCCCGACUCUGGGAUAAGCCCGGGAAACUGGGUCUAAUACCGGAUAUGACCUCGCACCGCAGGGUGCGGGGUGGAAAGAUUUAUCGGUGGGGGAUGGACUCGCGGCCUAUCAGCUUGUUGGUGAGGUAAUGGCUCACCAAGGCGACGACGGGUAGCCGGCCUGAGAGGGUGACCGGCCACACUGGGACUGAGACACGGCCCAGACUCCUACGGGAGGCAGCAGUGGGGAAUAUUGCACAAUGGGCGAAAGCCUGAUGCAGCGACGCCGCGUGAGGGAUGACGGCCUUCGGGUUGUAAACCUCUUUCAGUAGGGAAGAAGCGAAAGUGACGGUACCUGCAGAAGAAGCGCCGGCUAACUACGUGCCAGCAGCCGCGGUAAUACGUAGGGCGCAAGCGUUAUCCGGAUUUAUUGGGCGUAAAGAGCUCGUAGGCGGUUUGUCGCGUCUGCCGUGAAAGUCCGAGGCUCAACCUCGGAUCUGCGGUGGGUACGGGCAGACUAGAGUGAUGUAGGGGAGACUGGAAUUCCUGGUGUAGCGGUGAAAUGCGCAGAUAUCAGGAGGAACACCGAUGGCGAAGGCAGGUCUCUGGGCAUUUACUGACGCUGAGGAGCGAAAGCAUGGGGAGCGAACAGGAUUAGAUACCCUGGUAGUCCAUGCCGUAAACGUUGGGCACUAGGUGUGGGGGACAUUCCACGUUUUCCGCGCCGUAGCUAACGCAUUAAGUGCCCCGCCUGGGGAGUACGGCCGCAAGGCUAAAACUCAAAGGAAUUGACGGGGGCCCGCACAAGCGGCGGAGCAUGCGGAUUAAUUCGAUGCAACGCGAAGAACCUUACCAAGGCUUGACUUGUGCCAGACCGCCUCCAAAAAUGGGGUUUCCCUUUCGGGCUGGUUCCAGGGGGGGCAUGGUUGCCUCCACUCCGGGCCGG
rnacentral:rRNA from 1 species